rnacentral:rRNA from 1 species
AUUGAACGCUAGCGGGAUGCUUUACACAUGCAAGUCGAACGAGAGGCGGACGGGUGCGUAAUAUAUCGGAACGUGCCCAGUAGCGGGGGAUAACUACUAGAAAGAGUGGCUAAUACCGCAUAAUAUUGGAGCGGCAGAUAUUGGAUUAGCUAGUUGGUGGGGUAAAGGCUCAACAAGGCAACGAGCCGUAGCUGGUUGUCAAGGACGACCAGCCACACUGUGCCUGCGUGCCGGCCCAGACUCCUACGGGUGGCAGCAGUGGGGAAUUUUGGACGAUGGGGGAAACCCUGAUCCAGCCAUCCCGCGUGUAUGAGAAGGCCUUCGGGUUCUAAAGUACUUUUGGCAGAGAAGCGGUAUCUGCAGAAUAAGCACCGGCUAACUACGUGCCAGCAGCCGCGGUAAUAC